UGGUGUCCCCCAGGGGUCAAUACUUGGUCCAGUGCUGUUCAGUACCUGGAUGAGGGGACAGAGUGUAUCCUCAGCAAGUUUGCUGAUGAUACCAAACUGGGAGGGGUGGCUGACACCCCGGAGGGCUGUGCUGCCAUCCAGCAAGACUUGGACAGGAUGGAAGGCUGGGCAAGGAAGAACCUCAUGAGGUUCAACAGAGAAAGGGACAGAGUGUAUCCUCAGCAAGUUUGCUGAUGAUACCAAACUGGGAGGGGUGGCUGACACUCCGGAGGGCUGUGCUGCCAUCCAGCGAGACUUGGACAGGCUGGAGGGCUGGGCAAGGAAGAACCUCAUGAGGUUCAACAGAGAAAAGUGUAGGGUCCUGCACCUGGGGAAGAAAAAUGUCAGGCACCAGUACAGGUUAGGGGUGGACCUGCUGGAGGCAACUUCUGAAGAGAAAGAUCUAGGGGUUCUGGUUCUGGUGGACAGCAAAAUGACAAUGAGCAAGCAGUGUGCUCUUGUGGCCAGGAAGGCCAACAGAAUCUUGGGCUGCAUAGGGAAGAGUGUGGCCAGCAGGUCAAGGGAAGUCAUUCUCCCCCUCUACUCUGCACUGGUGAGGCCACAACUGGAAUACUGCGUCCAGUUCUGGGCUCCCCAGUUCAAGAGGGACAGGGAACUACUGGAAAGAGUCCAGCAAAGGGCAAUAAAGAUGAUUCAAGGAUUGGAGCAUCUCCCUUAUGAAGAAAGACUGAGAGAGCUGGGACUCUUUAGUCUGGAGAAGAGAAGGCUGAGGGGAGACCUUAUCAAUGCUUACAAGUAUCUCAAGGGUGUGUUGAAGGAGGAGGGAGCCAGACUCUUUUCAGUGGUUCCCAGUGAGAGGACAAGGGGCAACAGGCACAAGUUGGAACACAAGAGGUUUCACUCAAAUAUGAGGAAAAACUUCUUCACAGUGAGGGUGACAGAGCCCUGGAACAGGCUGCCCAGGGAGGUUGUGGAGUCCCCUUCUUUGGAGAUUUUCAAGACCCACCUGGAUGCAGUCCUGAGUAACAUGCUCUGACAAGCUCUAGGC
rnacentral:lncRNA from 1 species